rnacentral:rRNA from 1 species
UACGUAGGGUGCAAGCGUUGUCCGGAAUUAUUGGGCGUAAAGAGCUCGUAGGCGGUCUGUCGCGUCGGAUGUGAAAAAUCCAGGGCUUAACCCUGGGCCUGCAUUCGAUACGGGCAGACUAGAGUUCGGUAGGGGAGACUGGAAUUCCUGGUGUAGCGGUGAAAUGCGCAGAUAUCAGGAGGAACACCGGUGGCGAAGGCGGGUCUCUAGGCCGACACUGACGCUGAGGAGCGAAAGCGUGGGGAGCGAACAGG